AACCCUCCAUGUACAGCAGGGAGAGGAUCUCAUGUCAAACCCAAGCUGGUGUCCCCAAGUCUCUACCCAAUAUUGUGUUCAGGAUGAAUCUCCUUGUAUUCAUGGCCACACUGGAGAACACAGAAAGGUACCAUUGAAGGUUUAUGAGACCAUGCAGGUCUCUAAAUGGACCAAUCUGAUUGGAGCUCCACUGGCACCAACCAAAGAGCUGGGAUUAUAAAGGGACCCCUCAGGCUUGAAAGGUGGCACCCUGAAGAGGAUACAAGCCAGAGCGGGAGCCAGCUUGAGCCACUUGAUAGACGGCUGCAGGUCAGAUUUCUUUCCUGUCUGCCUCCCCAACUACAGAAUGAGCACCGUGAGGGCUGGAGCUAUCUGGCUGGCUGUCUAGUUCCCCAGCACCUGCAACAACAGCCAGCACGGGGCAGGUGCUCGACAAAAGGAGUUCCUCAGGAGUUGGGGUUCCCCAUUCCAGCCACUAUCCUUCCUGCCUCGGGCUGGGAGUGCCAGUUUUGCCAUUGCCAAGGGAGAGAAACACUGUCCCCCCGAAACAGGGGGACACAGUGCACCGGCAGUUAAGAACAUGAUGUGGGUUUGCCUCCAUGAACACUGGCUGUGUGAAGGCAGCAAGUUGCUUAACUGCGCGGAGUCUGCCUUCUCCUCCAUGGAAAGGGGAUAAGAAUAGAACAGACUUGAUAGCAUUGCUGGGGGCAUCUGGCAUGCAGUAAGAGGUGAAUAAAUGCUGGCCAAUAUAUUUGAUAGAAGCGAUGCUCACAGCCUAUCUGCCUGCCCCAGAGAAAAUGACAAAGCCUUGGCACAGAGGCUGACAAGCACUCCUGUCCCCGGUGGCAGUCCAUACUCCGCUCUGCCCUUCCUGGUGAGUGCCAGAUGUGCAGAAGCUGGAAACUCACAUUCUUGUGCAGGAAACAGAGAUACUUGUGGCCCAGGGAGCCCUGAGGUCAGCUCUGGAUCUUGCCUGGGUCGAGGGUGGACAGUGAGAUCCGGGGACAUUCCCUGUAGACAGAAGGCGGCACUCAGGUAUUGGGAGGGGGCAGCAGAAGCAGACAAAAGGUCCAGCUAGAGCAAGGCUGUGAGAGGUGCAGGAGCAGCAAGGGAGCCCAAGCCUUAAUGGGAUGCCUGUUACUGGCAGGCCGGCAGCAGGAACUGAGCAGAAGAGCAUGAGCUAAGGACAUGGCUCCUGCUUGCAGGGCAUGUGGGCAGGGUAGUCAGAGGGCACUGCCAUGGGGGUGGGGGAUACAGCUAGUACAUGUUAUAGGAGCUCAGUGAAGGCACAGAGCUCUGUGGAGGCCACCACAUGGCACUACCCAGGGAUUGUCAUGCUGUCUAUAUGAAUGGCACCAGUGGAGUCGGGCAGUGCCCAGACUGUGCAGCACCAUGAUCAAAGUAUCAGGAUGAGCUCCCCAGAGAAAACAGUCUGAUACAAUAUGAAUCCAGAGAGAGCAGGAUCCCCAGAGAAUGCCCUCAAGCCCCAGGCAGGGCUGGCACCUACUGCAGUAUCUGGGCACCCUCUGGAUCCCUCCUCAUCAGGUAUCUGAGGAGCUUCAGGGCAUGGAGUCCUUAGGUCUCUGUAGGGUAAGGAAAAAUAUCAGGCUUUUCUGCCCUCCUGCCAUCAGGAUAGAUGAUGGAUCUUUGAGGUCCUGAGUGCAUGCCUGAUGGCGGGCACCUGGAGUGGGGUGUGGGCAUGGGUAGAUGUGAUUCACCUGGGCUAAGACUAGGAUUUUAGGGGCAGGGACGCCAGCAGCAGCAGCAGAAGCCGAAAGAGGAAAAGCCCAAAGCAGAAGCAGAGAACGCCAGAGAGCCCAGAUAGAGUGAAGAUUUUCUGGGGGCUGAGAGGACUGCCAGCCUCCCAGCCCCCCAGCACCCCUGCCUGCCACGUACCCGCUGAACCCCAAUAAAAACCUGCAA